CUUCCUACGGGAGGCAGCAGUAGGGAAUUUUCGUCAAUGGGCGCAAGCCUGAACGAGCAAUGCCGCGUGAACGAGGAAGGUCUUCGGAUCGUAAAGUUCUGUUGAAGGGGAAAAAGAGCGGGGAGAGGAAAUGCUUUCUGAUUGUUAUUACCCUUCGAGGUAGUCACGGCUAACUACGUGCCAGCAGCCGCGGUAAUACGUAGGUGGCGAGCGUUAUCCGGAAUGAUUGGGCGUAAAGGGGGCGUAGGCGGCC
rnacentral:rRNA from 1 species